rnacentral:rRNA from 1 species
AAGAGACAGCAGCCGCCGCGGGAAUACGAAGGGUGCAAGCGUUACUCGGAAUUACUGGGCGUAAAGCGUGCGUAGGUGGUGGUUUAAGUCCGUUGUGAAAGCCCUGGGCUCAACCUGGGAAUUGCAGUGGAUACUGGGUCACUAGAGUGUGGUAGAGGAUAGUGGAAUUUCCGGUGUAGCAGUGAAAUGCGUAGAGAUCGGAAGGAACAUCUGUGGCGAAGGCGACUAUCUGGGCCAACACUGACACUGAGGCACGAAAGCGUGGGGAGCAAACAGGAUUAGAUACCACUGUAGUCCCUGUCUCUUAUAA